GACGAACGCUGGCGGCGUGCCUAAUACAUGCAAGUAGAACGCUGAAGGAGGAGCUUGCUCUUCUGGAUGAGUUGCGAACGGGUGAGUAACGCGUAGGUAGCCUGCCUGGUAGCGGGGGAUAACUAUUAGAAACGAUAGCUAAUACCGCAUAACAGUAGAUGUUGCAUGACAUUUACUUAAAAGGUGCAAUUGCAUCACUACCAGAUGGACCUGCGUUGUAUUAGCUAGUUGGUGGGGUAACGGCUCACCAAGGCGACGAUACAUAGCCGACCUGAGAGGGUGAUCGGCCACACUGGGACUGAGACACGGCCCAGACUCCUACGGGAGGCAGCAGUAGGGAAUCUUCGGCAAUGGACGGAAGUCUGACCGAGCAACGCCGCGUGAGUGAAGAAGGUUUUCGGAUCGUAAAGCUCUGUUGUAAGAGAAGAACGAGUGUGAGAGUGGAAAGUUCACACUGUGACGGUAUCUUACCAGAAAGGGACGGCUAACUACGUG
rnacentral:rRNA from 1 species